UCUUGGUUUGAAGAUUAGAAAUGAGAAAGAAAGAAAGAAACACGAGGCACAAGAGAAGCUACCUUCUUCCUUAGUCCUUGCCUCUUGUUUCAGUGGUAUGUAUGUAGCAUCAGAGAGAGACCCAGACAGACUCAGAUUCAUGUCGGAACCAACAAUGUCACUCUUUCUCUUCUUCUUCUUCUUCUUCUUCACUCUCAUUGCUUCUUCCUCUCAAACCAAAUCCACCACAUUACUCACCGGAAACACCACCAUUCACAGCGACAAUCAAACCUUCGAACUCGGCUUCUUCAACUUCGACAAUAACCAACCUCGCUGGUACCUCGCAAUCCGCUUCACUUCCCUCCCCGCCCCCAACAUCAUCUGGGUCGCCAACCGCCGCAAACCCGCCACCACUCUCUCCGGCGCCACCCUCCAACUCACCGAAACCGGUCAAUUGAUCCUCACCCAUUCACCAUCACCAUCACCCACUUCAACCCUCUGGCAAACCAACAACAUACAGGGUCAAGGUCAGGGAGUGAAGCUCAAGCUUCUCGAAAAUGGCAACCUCGUCCUCCUCUCCACAAACGGCGCCGUUUCAUGGCAGAGCUUCGAUGAACCCACCGACACCUGGCUCCCCGGCAUGAACCUCACCCGCUUCAAGACACUCACCUCAUGGCGCACGUUAGCGGACCCAUCUCCGGGGCUUUACUCUCUGCGGCUGAGGCCGCCGGACUACGGCGAGUUCGAGAUGGUGUUCAACGGCAGCGUUUCGUACUGGUCCACUGGGAAUUGGACUAAUGGGUCCUUCCUCAACGUGCCGGAGAUGACAGUGCCUUACAUCUACCGGUUCAAUUUCGAGGACCCGUUUUCUCCGACGGCGUCGUUUGGAUUCUCCGAGAACGCUUUGGACAAUGGGCUCAGACCCCCUACCAUGUUCCGUGUGGAGCCUUACGGCCAGGUCCGGCAGUACACGUGGUUUGCUCAGGCUGGGUCGUGGAACAUGUUUUGGUCUAGGCCUGAAGAGGUUUGUCAGGUUCGGGGACUCUGCGGGAGCUUCGGCGUCUGCACCGGCGAGAUUUCGAGGUUCUGUAAGUGUGUCGCGGGUUUUGAGCCUGUGGAUGGUGAUGGGUGGGGUUCCGGUGACUAUUCUGGGGGCUGCCGGCGUGAGGGAACGUGUGGUGAGAAUGAUGGGUUUGAAGAUCUGGGUGCUGUGAGGUUCGGUGGUGCUAAUGUGAGUUCUUUUAAGGUGAAAUCUAGAGGCUUGUGUGAGCGUGAGUGUUUAGCUUCUUGUGGUUGUGUUGGUUUGUCCUUUGAUGAAAGGGGUGGUUUGUGCAAGAAUUUUUAUGGGUCUCUUGUGGAUUUCCAAAAUUCGACGACUGCUUUUGCGGGUGGUGGUGAUGUGUUGUAUGUUAGGGUUCCCAGAGAGGGAUCUGUGAGGAAGGGGUUGAGUCAUAAGGUUUUGGCUGUUGUUGUUGUCGGGGCAGUUGCGGUUUUGAGUGUGGUGGUAGUGACAUUGUUGGUGAUGUGGAGGAGGUUGAAGAAGAAGGGGAUGGAGGAAGAUGAGUUUGUUCCUAUGUUGAAUUUGAAGGUGUUUUCUUACAAGGAGCUUCAAUUGGCUACUCGGGGGUUUUCGGAGAAGGUUGGGCAUGGCGGGUUUGGGACGGUGUUUCAAGGGGAGCUGAGUGAUUCCUCUCUAGUUGCAGUGAAGCGUUUGGAGAGGCCAGGGGGCGGGGAGAAAGAGUUCAGGGCAGAGGUGUCCACUAUUGGGAACAUUCAGCAUGUUAAUCUUGUGAGGCUCAGAGGGUUUUGCUCUGAGAAUUCUCACAGGCUUUUGGUCUAUGAGUACAUGCAUAAUGGUGCCCUGAGUGCUUAUCUGCGGAAAGAUGGGCCAUGUUUGAGCUGGGAUGUUAGGUUCCAGGUAGCAAUUGGAACGGCUAAAGGCAUAGCUUAUUUACAUGAGGAAUGUAGAUGUUGCAUCCUGCACUGUGAUAUCAAGCCUGAAAACAUCCUUUUGGACAGUGAUUUCACUGCCAAAGUUUCUGAUUUUGGGUUGGCAAAGCUCAUAGGCAGGGACUUCAGCAGGGUUUUGGCAACCAUGAGGGGUACAUGGGGAUAUGUAGCUCCGGAGUGGAUUUCGGGUGUGGCAAUCACCACCAAAGCUGAUGUUUACAGCUAUGGCAUGACAUUGCUAGAACUAAUCAGCGGUCGCCGGAAUGUAGAGACACCACCAUCUGCUGGUGGUGGUGAGAGUGGUAGUGAGACUGGAGAGAAGUGGUUCUUUCCUCCGUGGGCAGCACAGCAGAUAAUCGAGGGUAAUGUGGCUGCUGUGGUUGAUAAGAAGCUUGGAAGUGUAUAUAGCAUUGACGAGGCUGGAAGGAUUGCUUUGGUGGCAGUUUGGUGCAUUCAGGAUGAUGAGGCAAUGAGACCUACUAUGAAUAUCGUGGUGAAAAUGUUAGAGGGAUUAGUGGAGGUGACCGUUCCUCCACCACCUAAGAUGCUACAAGCGUUGGUUACAGGGGAAUCCUUUCAUGGGGUAAAGGGUGAUUCUGAGAAUGAAGUAUCCUCUGUUGGAAGCUUAUCCGGUGGCAACUUGGAAGUGUCAACUGCUGAUUCAGAAUCAUGUAUAGGGGAUGCUUCUUCCCCUCUGGAUUUCAACGUCAACGUUCGAUGACACCCUUUUUAGUCCUGAUUAUAGCAUUUUUUUAGCAGAUAAUUGAACAAGUUAUGAUAUUAUGGCAGAAGAUAGUUUUCUCCAAGGUUAUAUGAUAUUGGAAUUGAUAGCACCUAUGGUUCUUGAAAUCAACUAUGCCUGGGACAGAAUCAAGUUUCCAGUUUAACAUUUUUCCAUUAUUAAGAAAUUGGUCACCAGUCACCACAUCUAAGGUUUGAAGAAGUAAAAAGAGGAGUGGAGAUAAAAUAUGCAAUUCUAACUAGAUGUGAAAUACUGGUUAUUGCUGAUUAACUGUAUCUAGUUGCUGACAGCUGACCAUGAAAUAAAAUCUUUCUAAAGUUGUUCACUAGAACUUUUAACAAUUAUCUUGUUCUUUGAUGUUAAAGGGUGUGCUUUGACCUGCCAAUGAAUUAGUUUCAUGGUUUUAUAAUUAGAGAUGCAUGCUCAAUGGAUGGCUGAUGAGAAAAUUUCUUUGUUUUAUAACUUGUAUGAUGAUUGUUGCUAGACAUUUUUAUAUUUCAAUUACUGGUUAAUAUUUUGACUUUUUCCAUUUUUGUUUGCCUUGUAUCAUUCAUACAUUAGAACAAUUUCAAUAAACAAG